rnacentral:rRNA from 1 species
GACGUAGGGUCCAAGCGUUGUCCGGAUUUACUGGGCGUAAAGGGCGCGUAGGCGGCCUGUUAAGUCGAACGUGAAAUCCCCGGGCUCAACCCGGGAACUGCGUCCGAUACUGGCAGGCUUGAAUCCGGGAGAGGGAUGCGGAAUUCCAGGUGUAGCGGUGAAAUGCGUAGAUAUCUGGAGGAACACCGGUGGCGAAGGCGGCAUCCUGGACCGGCAUUGACGCUGAGGCGCGAAAGCCAGGGGAGCAAACGGG